rnacentral:rRNA from 1 species
UGGGGAAUAUUGCACAAUGGGCGCAAGCCUGAUGCAGCAACGCCGCGUGAACGAUGAAGGUCUUCGGAUCGUAAAGUUCUGUUGCAGGGGAAGAUAAUGACGGUACCCUGUGAGGAAGCCCAGGCUAACUACGUGCCAGCCGCCGCGGUAAUACGUAGGGGGCUAGCGCUAUCCGGAUUUACUGGGCGUAAAGGGUGCGUAGGUGGUCCUUCAAGUCGGUGGUUAAAGGCUACGGCUCAACCGUAGUAAGCCGCCGAAACUGGAGGACUUGAGUGCAGGAGAGGAAAGUGGAAUUCCCAGUGUAGCGGUGAAAUGCGUAGAUAUUGGGAGGAACACCAGUAGCGAAGGCGGCUUUCUGGACUUUUACUGACGCUCAGGUACGAAAGCGUGGGGAGCAAACAGG